rnacentral:rRNA from 1 species
UACAGAGGGUGCGAGCGUUAAUCGGAAUUACUGGGCGUAAAGCGCACGUAGGUGGCGACGUAAGUCGGGUGUGAAAGCCCCGGGCUCAACCUGGGAAUUGCAUUCGAGACUGCAUUGCUGGAGUACGGAAGAGGAAGGCGGAAUUCCCGGUGUAGCGGUGAAAUGCGUAGAUAUCGGGAGGAACAUCAGUGGCGAAGGCGGCCUUCUGGUCCAGUACUGACGCUGAGGCGCGAAAGCUAGGGGAGCAAACAGG